CCCGCCGUCCCGCCAUGAGACGAUUUGUCCCGACAUUCGUAAAAAACGAUGUAAGGUGUAUAGGUUCCCAAUAAAAUUCGCUAUUCAAGCUCUGUUUCGCUAACACUUAACACCGCUAAUCCCUUUAUUGCCCUCCAAUUAACAAUCCGAUUCUACUUAUCGUGUGUACCAGUGUUGUUUAUGACACCUUAUCAGCGAUUUAUCGGCUAAUUAUUGAUUUCAUCAGGCAUUCACACCAUGGUGGUCUUCAAGAUAGUGGUCGCUUAUUGCUAUCGAUAGUUUUAUUAUAAUGAAAUAAAUGUUGAAAAUGUGUUUAUUUUGUAUUUGUUUGAAACGGUUUACAAAACAAUUGUUUUGUAAAAUUAACGCUACGUCAUAAAUGAGUCUUUUACAUUCAAUGUUUAGUUCCAAUAUAGCGGGAUAUUCCGAAUGUGCAAUAUACCAAAAUCGCAACAAACAGUCCAAUAAGUGAUACCCAUCCUGUCUAGUGUAAUUGUAAUAAAAACAACGAGGUGCUAUGCAUGACAGUUUGACCCUACUCCAAUUAAGC